ensembl:lncRNA
GCCUGUUUCAACACACCUGAGAAGAAAAAGCAAAUUGAUUACUCCUUAACCUACACUGCUAACCAAGCCUGCAGGGAGACGUUUCUCUUAGCCGUGUCUGCCUCAGCGCCUUUGCCACCCAAAGCUUGGAGACAGUUUUAAUUGCAACAUGACGACCACAAGAAAAGCCCAGAAUCCUCAUAAAAGCACAGCAAAGUUGGCUGCAGGCCCACGGAGGAGAGCAAGCCACACCGUAAUUACAGGGUUGUGGUGGAUCCGAAGCAUUUCCUCAAACCUCUGGGAGAAAUGUGGGACACAUCACAGAGCUCUAUCAAUCAUAGAACAUUCAUCACACACACACACAGGCUCAAUCUUCAAGUCUCCAGUUUUGGUGAGCCUGUGCCUACUGUAGCUGACAGAAGAUUCUUGGCUGACAGAAAUGGAACCCAAUGUGGUCUUAAGCUGUUGCAUCCCAUCGACCACGAGAAUUCGACGUGUUUUGUUUCUGAGAUGCUUUUAUGCUCACCACGAUUGUAAAGAGUGGUUAUUUGAGUUACUGUAUACGUCUGGUCAGUUCAAACUAGUCUGGCCAUUCUCC